UACGUAGGGUGAGAGCGUUAAUCGGAAUUACUGGGCGUAAAGCGUGCGCAGGCGGUGAUGUAAGACCGAUGUGAAAUCCCCGGGCUUAACCUGGGAACUGCAUUGGUGACUGCAUUGCUCGAGUAUGGCAGAGGGGGGUGGAAUUCCACGUGUAGCAGUGAAAUGCGUAGAGAUGUGGAGGAACACCGAUGGCGAAGGCAGCCCCCUGGGCCAAUACUGACGCUCAUGCACGAAAGCGUGGGGAGCAAACAGG
rnacentral:rRNA from 1 species